rnacentral:rRNA from 1 species
GAUCAUGGCUCAGGAUGAACGCUGGCGGCGUGCCUAACACAUGCAAGUCGAGCGAGAAAUUACUCAAUGAAUCUUCGGAAGAAUUGAAUAAUGGAAAGCGGCGGACGGGUGAGUAACGCGUGGGCAACCUGCCUUUCACAGAGGGAUAGCCAAAGGAAACUUUGAUUAAAACCUCAUAAAGCCGAAAUGUUGCAUAGCAAGACGGCCAAAGAUUUAUCGGUGAAAGAUGGGCCCGCGU